rnacentral:rRNA from 15 species
CACCAGGUUGAUUCUGCCUGACGUGGAUGCUAGUCUCUAAAGUUAAGCCAUGGAUGUCUAAGCAAAGCGUAAGUCGAGCGGCACAGGCUCAGUAACGGGCGAAUAUUUAAUCUCCUCGAGUGGAUAUCCUCUGUAACCGGAGGGCAAAACACAGGACGUGCAGUUGUAUAAGGAUUGUUCGUUUAACAUUAGUGGGGGAGAGUAAGACGCCAGUCCAUCAGUUAGUAAGUAGGGUAAGGGCCUACUUAGACGAAUACGGAUACGGGGAAUUAUCGUUUGAUUCCGGAGAGGGAGCCUGAGAGACGGCUACCGGGUCCAAGGACAACAGCAGGCGCGAAAAUUACCGCAGCCUGCAUUCAGGUCGGUAGUAAGGAGACGUGUAAACGAUGUGCAGGUAAAGAAUGCACUGUAUACAGGAGGACAAGACUGGUGCCAGCACCCGCUGUAAUACCAGCUCCUGGAGUGUCUAUGAUGAUUGCUGCAGUUAAAGCGUUCGUAGUCGAACCGGGUUGAAUUGCGUGACAGUCAGACUCUCAAGGUGUGAUGAGCGCUGUGAUUCUGGGGAAUAAGGAGUGUUUAGGGGCCAGGGUAUUAAACGGCAAGCGGUGAAAUGUGUUGACCCGUUUAUGGAGCGACAGAGGCGAAAGGCUGGCCAGGGGCAAAUCCGAUGAUAAAGGACGUAGGCUAGAGGAUCGAAGACGAUUAGAGACCGUUGUAGUUCUAGCAGUAAACAAUGCCGAUGUUGUGGUGCCGUAACGGACGCAAAAGAGAAAUCUAGUAGGGCCCUGGGGAGAGUACACGCGCAACAGGAAAUUUAAAGGAAAUUGACGGAAGAACACCACAAGGAGUGGAGUGUGCGGCUUAAUUUGACUCAACGCGGGACACCUUACCGGGCCCACGGCCACACGAGUGUGACACACGAUAGCCGAGGAGUGGUGCAUGGCCCGUUAACGACAAGUGAGUGAUCUUUGGGUUAAGUCCGUAAAUUAGUGAGACCCCAGCAAAGGACAGGUGCGCAAAGCACAGGAAGGAUGGGUCAAGGACAGGUCAGUGAUGCCCUUAGAUGGUCCGGGCUGCACGCGCACUACAGUGGUCGCCGAAAUUUAGAUAUAGAGCUAAAGGCGAUCGAGAGGGAAUGAGCUUUGGAAGAGGCUCAGGAACGUGGAAUUGCUAGUAAUCGCGGACUCAUUAAGACGCGAUGAAUACGUCCCUGUUCUUUGUACACACCGCCCGUCGUUAUCGAAUACGGUGCUCGGCGCGAGCAAGGUGAAAUCACUGAGCGAGCGCAAGGUACCGGAUCUGAUACAAGUCGUAACAAGGUAGCUGUAGGAGAACCAUUAGCAGGAUCAUAA